GUGGGUAGAUAUACUCAAGUGUUAGACAGAGUAGUAGCACUGCAGAGGUUAAUGAUCUGAAGGCAGAGAUAAAAGAGUUGAAGCAGAGCCACCAGACAGAGAUGCAAUCUUUGAGGGCUCAGAUUAAUCAGAUUACAUCUUUGUUGCAUCAGUUUGUCCCUCCUCAGGUUCCUGAUAGUUCAUUUGCACGUAGAGAUGGUGAUGCUAGCGACCCCUGAAGCAUUUAUUUUGGAGUUUAUAUGUAUUUUUUUAUGCUUUUUGAAGUACAUUGUAAACGUAAAUUGAUAGUAUGAAUGUAAUUUGACAAUAUGAAUGUUUAGAUAAAUAUGUUUGAUUUUGUGUAUA